rnacentral:rRNA from 1 species
UACGAAGGGUGCAAGCGUUAGUCGGAAUUACUGGGCGUAAAGCGUGCGUAGGUGGUUUCUUAAGUCGGAUGUGAAAGCCCUGGGCUCAACCUGGGAAUGGCACUCGAUACUGGGAAGCUAGAGUGCGGUAGAGGAGGGUGGAAUUCCCGGUGUAGCGGUGAAAUGCGUAGAGAUCGGGAGGAACAUCAGUGGCGAAGGCGACCCUCUGGACCAGCACUGACGCUGAGGAGCGAAAGCGUGGGGAGCAAACAGG